rnacentral:rRNA from 1 species
GAUUUCUGGCUUGAAACAUUUGGCCGGCCACGGUUUCGUGUGUUAGUGCUUUGUGUUCUGGCCAUCCUUCCAAUCGCUAUUGGUUACUCUUCAUUGAGUGGUCAGUAGUGUUGGAUCUUUUACUUUGAAAAAAUUAGAGUGUUUCAAGCAGGCUUUAUGCUAUGAAUACAUUAGCAUGGAAUAAUAAUUUAGGACUUCGGUUCUAUUUUGUUGGUUUCUAGGACUGAAGUAAUGAUUGAUAGGGAUAGUUGGGGGUGCUAGUAUUCAGCGGCCAGAGGUGAGAUUCUUGGAUUCGCUGAAGACUAACUUAUGCGAAAGCAUU